GACGAACGCUGGCGGCGUGCUUAACACAUGCAAGUCGAACGGAAAGGCCCUGCUUUUGUGGGGUGCUCGAGUGGCGAACGGGUGAGUAACACGUGAGUAACCUGCCCUUGACUUUGGGAUAACUUCAGGAAACUGGGGCUAAUACCGGAUAGGAGCUCCUGCUGCAUGGUGGGGGUUGGAAAGUUUCGGCGGUUGGGGAUGGACUCGCGGCUUAUCAGCUUGUUGGUGGGGUAGUGGCUUACCAAGGCUUUGACGGGUAGCCGGCCUGAGAGGGUGACCAGCCACAUUGGGACUGAGAUACGGCCCAGACUCCUACGGGAGGCAGCAGUGGGGAAUAUCGCACAAUGGGCGGAAGCCUGAUGCAGCAACGCCGCGUGCGGGAUGACGGCCUUCGGGUUGUAAACCGCUUUCGCCUGUGACGAAGCGUGAGUGACGGUAAUGGGUAAAGAAGCACCGGCUAACUACGUG
rnacentral:rRNA from 1 species